UGUCAGAUCUGAUGCAUCUCUCCCUUUCUAUGCAGUUAACACGGAAGAGCACAAGGCAGCCUCUGCAGUCCGUUUCUCCCUCAGAAAUCAGCAUCUGGCAGUCCAUUUAUCCGAAAAAAUCCAAGAUCAGUAGUCACAAUGCCGCAAUCAAAUGAAAUCUUACCUGGCCUACUAGCUGCGAAAGCUAUUGCAGCACGCCAUCAGAUCCGUGAGGUCAUUGAUGGCGUAGCACAGUUUGUGACCGAAGUCGGGCUUCGGCAAUGUGCCAUUCGAGAAUACAACGCCCAUCACAUCACCGGCGACGAAUCUGGUUACUGGAUGGCUGAGCUUGAGUGGGUGUACCGAGAAAUGGUGCCCGUGUAUGCAUCUGUUCAAGGAAUGUUCCUUGUGCGUGAUCCUCAGUUUGCAGCUGUGCUGGGAAACGAGCAGGAAAUACAGUUGAGAAACAUUCUGAUAGAUGCCAAUUAUACAGUUCACUCGAUCAACCGUUUGUUCUUGGUGAUGGGGAGCAGCGCAUCAUUGUUUCAGUAUAUUGUGAAUAAUUGCUCGCUUUUGGAUCCAGUAGCUCAUCAGGAGGCAGAAACCGUAUUAAGCGAGGUCACUAAUAUCGGUCGCCUCAUACAAGCUUUUGCAGGCAAUCUCCAGUUCCAUUUGGAGGUUGUUGCAAAUAUUUGCAAUGCGGGCAUGUUGGUUCCACCCGUGCACCAGGACUAGUCGAAUUAUAGGCCAAGGCCUGCAGGAUAACAGAGAAAGGCAAAGGCAGGCUUUCAUUUGAAGCAAAUGUGAGGUUUUGGUAGAGUAGAUGGCUAUGUGGUCGGUGGUAGUAAAACGAAUGGUGGAAUUGUUGUUAUAAGUGUUUUACCUCCUUGCGGGUCUAUCUGCAGAUAACAUGUUUUGCAGUAGUCUUAUCUUGAGACCUUUGACUUGAUGCAGUAUCUGCAGAUAACAUGUAUUGUAGUAGUCUUAUUUUGAAUGGCGUUGAGGCAUUACAUCAGCUUGCCGGGUGGAUGUUAAACUGGUUAUCUUGUUGGGUACAUGUUCUUA